CCGCGCGUGACCUCGCACGAAAACGAGACCGCCGUUGGGUCACUCCCGGUCAGGUUUCCCAUUGAGGCGGCCUAACAAUGGAGUCUUCCACAGUCGAUAGCGAUACUCCAACUUCAACGGUGCAGCACCCGUCCUUCACUCCUGGGUGAAGCAGAAACCAGAGAGACCAGCUCCAAAGAAGAGAUGUUCUCCCACCAAGAAAAAGAAAGGAGCUUGUGGACUUAACAAAAUUGAUGAACCUGAGGACUCCUCCGCUUGUUGUUCGGAUCCUGGUCUCGACACCAACAUGGCUAUACUUCAACCUGACCUGGCAACAUCCCCAUCACCGACUGCACUGCCAUCACAGACCACAUCUUCACCAUGCUUACCUGACAAACUUUU